UACGUAGGGUCCGAGCGUUGUCCGGAAUUACUGGGCGUAAAGAGCUCGUAGGUGGUUUGUCGCGUUGUUCGUGAAAACUCACAGCUCAACUGUGGGCGUGCGGGCGAUACGGGCAGACUGGAGUACUGCAGGGGAGACUGGAAUUCCGGGUGUAGCGGUGAAAUGCGCAGAUAUCAGGAGGAACACCGGUGGCGAAGGCGGGUCUCUGGGCCGAUAUUGACGCUGAGGAGCGAAAGCGUGGGGAGCGAACAGG
rnacentral:rRNA from 1 species